AAAUAAAAAAACCCAAACCCAAUUUUAUUUUCCCUCUGUAACUCUCUCUCCUCUCAGACCCAUACCCAAAACCUCUCUGUAAGUCUCUUCCGAAACCCCAAACGACUCCCUCUGUAAGUCUCUCUCCUCUCAGACCUCAAUCCCCAAACCCCAAACGACUCAACCCCAAACGUCUUGCAGACUAAAACCCAAACCCCAAUCUUCGAAACCCCAAACACAGACGGCCCCUCCAAGCUCCUUCAAGCUCCAUCAUAGACGGCGUCUCCAAGCUCUCCUCCGAUCUUCCUCUCGGCAUUCUACGGUAUAUAUAUAUAGUUUAUUUUAUUAUUAAUAUUCUUAACUUAAUUUGAGAUUUUGUCUACAAGAAGACUAUCAAGUGUUGAGAUUGACGGUUCCGGUUCUUCGAAGCUUCAUCGGAGACGUUCUUCCAAGCUCCAUCGUAGACGGUUCUUCCGAUCUUCCUCUCCAUCUACGUCAAGGUUUAAGGCCUUGUACGUGGUAUUGCUAUCUUCUUUCUAGAUGGACUCCUCAAUUUCAAUGCAGUCAAGGUUGUGGGUUUGCUUUCAUAACAGUUGAUUGCUUUUAUUUUCUCUUGGCAUCUCCUUUGUCACGAGUUGUUCAGACUUAAGAUCCGUUAGUGGGCAUUACAAAAUAAAAAUGCAAACAAAAGUACUGAAAAGGAGGCUCAAAGUCUAUUGUGUGUACUAAAAAGUCCAAGUAUCUCAAAUAUAGACAUGAUACUCUUGCAGGGCUAGUCCAUAAAAAUUUGUUAUUCCUUUAGCCAAGCACUACAAGACAGUGUGUUGAAACCAAAUAUCUCUUGGCAUGCAUUUUCAUAUGAUGUUUGAAGCCGAAGAGUCUGGAACAAGAAGGUAUAUAGGUACAAUCACGGAUAUUAGUGAUCUUGACCCGCUAGAUGGAAGAAUUCACAAUGGCGUAAUUUGCGGGUUGGUUGGGACGAAUCAACUGCUAGGGAAAGGUGUAAUAGGGUCUCAAUCUAGGAGAUUGAACCUGUAUUUUUUAUUUGAGUAAAUGAUUCUUUUUUGAGUUAUUAAUUAUUUACUUUGUAAAUCUAGUUAUAUAGUUUUAAAGUCAAGACGAUUAUGUUUAUAGACAAGACUAUGAUUUUUGAGUCAAGUAGUAGGGUUAUAUUUGUCCAAAAUUUGUAUUAUUAGAUUUGUAAAUACUUUGUAUAAGUCUUGUUAUUUUAAUUUAUAAUUUUUUAGAUUUGUA